rnacentral:rRNA from 1 species
AUUGAACGCUGGCGGCAGGCCUAACACAUGCAAGUCGAACGAGUGGCGGACGGGUGAGUAAUGUCUGGGAAACUGCCCGAUGGAGGGGGAUAACUACUGGAAACGGUAGCUAAUACCGCAUACUAUCGGAUGUACCCAGAUGGGAUUAGCUAGUAGGUGGGGUAACGGCUCACCUAGGCGACGAUCUCUAGCUGGUCUGAGAGGAUGACCAGCCACACUGGGACUGAGACACGGUCCAGACUCCUACGGGAGGCAGCAGUGGGGAAUAUUGCACAAUGGGCGCAAGCCUGAUGCAGCCAUGCCGCGUGUAUGAAGAAGGCCUUAGGGUUGUAAAGUACUUUCAGCGGGGAGGCGUUACUCGCAGAAGAAGCACCGGCUAACUCCGUGCCAGCAGCCGCGGUAAUUC